rnacentral:rRNA from 1 species
GACGAACGCUGGCGGCGUGCUUAACACAUGCAAGUCGAACGGAAAGGCCCUGCUCUUGCGGGGUGCACGAUUGCCGAACGGGUGAGUAACACGCGAGUAACCUGCCCUUAUCUUUGGGAUAACUUCAGGAAAAUCCGGCUAAUACCGGAUAGGAUCUCCUGCAGCAUGGGGGGGGUUGGAAAGUUUCGGCGGUUGGGGCUGUUCUAGCGGCUUAUCAGCUUGAUGGUCGGGUAGUUGCGUACAAAGGCUUUGACGGGUAGCCGGCCUUGGAGGGUGGACGGCGACCAUGGGACUGCGAUACGGCGCAGACUGCUACGGGACGCAGUGGGGGGGAAUAUUGCAGAGUAGGCGGAAGCCUGAUACAGCAACGCCGCGAGCGGGAUGACGGCCUUCGAGUUAUAAACAGCUUUCGACUGUGACGAACAGUUAGUGACGGUACUGGGUAAAAAAGCACCGGCUAACUACGUG